UUGACAUCCAGAGAAUUUAGCAGAGAUGCUUUAGUGCCUUCGGGAACUCUGAGACAGGUGCUGCAUGGCUGUCGUCAGCCCGUGUUGUGAAAUGUUGGGUUAAGUCCCGCAACGAGCGCAACCCUUAUCCUUUGUUGCCAGCACGUAAUGGUGGGAACUCAAAGGAGACUGCCGGUGAUAAACCGGAGGAAGGUGGGGAUGACGUCAAGUCAUCAUGGCCCUUACGAGUAGGGCUACACACGUGCUACAAUGGCGCAUACAAAGAGAAGCGACCUCGCGAGAGCAAGCGGACCUCAUAAAGUGCGUCGUAGUCCGGAUUGGAGUCUGCAACUCGACUCCAUGAAGUCGGAAUCGCUAGUAAUCGUAAAUCAGAAUGUUACGGUGAAUACGUUCCCGGGCCUUGUACACACCGCCCGUCACACCAUGGGAGUGGGUUGCAAAAGAAGUAGAUAGCUUAACCUUCGGGAGGGCGUUUACCACUUUGUGAUUCAUGACUGGGGUGAAGUCGUAACAAGGUAAGCGUAGUGCU
rnacentral:rRNA from 1 species